rnacentral:rRNA from 1 species
GACGAACGCUGGCGGCGUGCUUAACACAUGCAAGUCGAACGGAAAGGCCCUGCUUUUGUGGGGUGCUCGAGUGGCGAACGGGUGAGUAACACGUGAGUAACCUGCCCUUGACUUUGGGAUAUCUUCAGGAAACUGGGGCUAAUACCGGAUAGGAGCUCCUGCUGCAUGGUGGGGGUUGGAAAGUUUCGGCGGUUGGGGAUGGACUCGCGGCUUAUCAGCUUGUUGGUGGGGUAGUGGCUUACCAAGGCUUUGACGGGUAGCCGGCCUGAGAGGGUGACCGGCCACAUUGGGACUGAGAUACGGCCCAGACUCCUACGGGAGGCAGCAGUGGGGAAUAUUGCACAAUGGGCGGAAGCCUGAUGCAGCAACGCCGCGUGCGGGAUAACGGCCUUCGGGUUGUAAACCGCUUUCGCCUGUGACGAAGCGUGAGUGACGGUAAUGGGUAAAGAAGCACCGGCUAACUACGUG